rfam:Oryza punctata chromosome 3, whole genome shotgun sequence.
CCUCUGGAUGAUGAGGACCUCGUUUCCUACAUCCUAGCUGGUCUUGACUACGACUACAAUCCACUCGUGUCUUCCAUUGCAGCACGUGUGGAGCCUGUCUCGGUAAGCGAAGUUUAUGCACAACUGAUGAAUUUUGAGA